GUGACAGCCGCCGCGGUAAUACGGAGGGUGCGAGCGUUGUUCGGAUUUAUUGGGCGUAAAGCGCGUGUAGGCGGUUUUUUAAGUCUGACGUGAAAGCCCCGGGCUCAACCUGGGAAGUGCAUUGGAUACUGGGAGACUUGAAUACGGGAGAGGGCAGUGGAAUUCCUAGUGUAGGAGUGGAAUCCGUAGAUAUUAGGAGGAACACCGGUGGCGAAGGCGGCUGCCUGGACCGAUAUUGACGCUGAGACGCGAAAGCGUGGGUAGCAAACAGGAUUAGAUACCCCUGUAGUCC
rnacentral:rRNA from 1 species